rnacentral:rRNA from 1 species
UGCCUAAUACAUGCACGUCGAGCGAAUGGAUUGAGAGCUUGCUCUCAAGAAGUUAGCGGCGGACGGGUGAGUAACACGUGGGUAACCUGCCCAUAAGACUGGGAUAACUCCGGGAAACCGGGGCUAAUACCGGAUAACAUUUUGAACUGCAUGGUUCGAAAUUGAAAGGCGGCUUCGGCUGUCACUUAUGGAUGGACCCGCGUCGCAUUAGCUAGUUGGUGAGGUAACGGCUCACCAAGGCAACGAUGCGUAGCCGACCUGAGAGGGUGAUCGGCCACACUGGGACUGAGACACGGCCCAGACUCCUACGGGAGGCAGCAGUAGGGAAUCUUCCGCAAUGGACGAAAGUCUGACGGAGCAACGCCGCGUGAGUGAUGAAGGCUUUCGGGUCGUAAAACUCUGUUGUUAGGGAAGAACAAGUGCUAGUUGAAUAAGCUGGCACCUUGACGGUACCUAACCAGAAAGCCGCGGCUAACUACGGGCCAGCAGCCGCGGUAAUACGUAGGUGGCAAGCGUUAUCCGGAAUUAUUGGGCGUAAAGCGCGCGCAGGUGGUUUCUUAAGUCUGAUGUGAAAGCCCACGGCUCAACCGUGGAGGGUCAUUGGAAACUGGG